rnacentral:rRNA from 1 species
CCCUUAGAUGUUCUGGGCUGCACGCGUGCUACACUGAUUAUUUCAACAAGUGUUUUAACUGGAGAGUUCGCGUAAUCCUGAAAUGUUAUCGUGAUGGGAGUAGAGUAUUGUAUUUGUUAAUCUUUAACGAGGAAUUCCUAGCAAGUGUAGGUUUAUAAGUUGUUCUGAUUACGUCCCUGCCCUUUGUACACACCGCCCGUCGCUCCUACCGAUUGAUUGAUCCGGUGAAUUACAUAGAAUUUUGCGUUUUACAUGACGGAAGACGAAGUGUUUUAAACCUUAUCAUUUAGAGGAAGGAGAAGUCGCAACA